AUACAAGCAUACGUGCGCUGGCCUUUAACAGCAACGGUUAACAGUUAACGGAUCCGUAGAGCCGAAAAAGCAAACAACAUAAAUACAUUCAUAUAAAAAAUUAAAGAUGAUCAGCUAGGGUUGCUGAGGAGUUCAGCGGGGGUGGGUAAAGUUGCAAGCGCCGGCAUUCGAAAAGCGGAAAGCGAUACAUGGCCGAGAAAAAAAACUCAAUAAGUGGAGACCGAACAAAACGUGAAACGACCGACUACUAAAAGCCGAGCACUGCACUCGACGACGUGGCGCGAAGUCAAACGAAGUGAAUCAGCAGGCCGCAAAUGUGCGGCUGACGUUUUUGUUUGUGUAUUUGUUGUUUUUUUGUUUUCUGUGUCUCAUUUCGCUUUUGAGAAAUUUAUCGUACGAUGUUUUUCGACCAAUCAGCGCGUUUGUUUGCCCAGUGACGUAACGGUGAGUGGCGAGCGCCACGCGAUAAAUCCAAUGUGGGGUGUGUAAGCCCCAUACAAAUUUUUGUAAACAUCUAUGUUGUGUAUAUAUAUAUGUGUGAGUGUGUGUGUGUGUGUAAGAGAGCAACUAUUUACACACAACGAGAGACAUUGCUGGCAAGGUUUUGCGGUUGUUUAUGGCGCUGCGCCCGCGCUGCAGAUAGCGCACGAAAGCAGAGGCAAGACGUCGCAGCGAACGACUGGCUUCAGCUUGUUGUUGUUGGCGACAAAACUGCGAUCGGGAAUUUUAUUUUGCCGGUUUUAGAAACUUGCGCGUAAUUUUAGAACCAGUCUGCGCUCUCACGCUCACGCUCUCGCUCUCGCUCUCUUUCGAUGACGCUCUCAUUUGACGCUGUGACGCGUCUAGACGGGAACUGAUUAAUCUCCAGCUAGUGAAGGAAUCUUGUCUGGCAGCAGUUGGUUAAGAAGAAGAACGACUGCUGCACAUACUGGACCGUCGGUCGCUGUCGCACUUUGCUGUCGCCGUUUACCCUGCGCCGGUCAUUGACAUAGAAAACAAAAGCAACGCUAAAAAUAAUGCAAAAAUGCAGCAAAAUCAACGACAACAUUUGACAAGUUGUGCAAUGCGAAAGCGACAAUAAACAGACAAAAUAUACAAUACCAAAAUGUGCUUGGCCUAUGAUCUAAAGCUAACAGCGCGCGUACGUACGUUUCUUUAUAUGUAUAUGUACAUUGAAGGAACUUAGCAGUUUAAUGUAAAGAAUUAGCAUGGAAGGAACGUCAGAGCUCUUACAUUUAUGUUAAUGUUAUUGUGCAUGUGCUGCUAAAGAGAGGAAAUUAAGUAAACGGAACCGCAACCUGUCGAAUGUUUUUACAUUAUUGUGUGUUGGAAUUGUUUAAUCAAUCACUUGAUUUAAUUGUAUGCCCACUCAAGAAUAUAUUAAUGGGCAGAAAUGUGCCAUUUUAAUACUAUAGGGCAUUUUCCUGACCAUCGGGGCGAUCUUUAUCAUUGAUCUGUCCAAUUUUCUCUCCUAAUCUCUUACAGACUAUCUUCAUAAAUGUUACUCGUGAUCAUGUAAAUAUUUCCCCCUUUUUGAUAGCGAACAAAAUGAAAGUUUUGCGCUGGCAACUUUGUACAAUACGUUAAAACUGAAUUCAACAAUAAAUUGUUAUGCCAAAUGUAAAAGAGACCUGAAUAAUAUGCAAAAUAAACCACAAACUGAAAGAUACAAAGAGAUAUAAAGACGACGCUUCAAAAUGUCAAUAGCAAAACCUCACGUAAUAUUUUCGUUGGCUUAACAUUCGACUGGGUUUUCAGUAAAUAAUCAUAGCAGAAAUUCCGAAAGCUGCAAGCUGCAGAAAAUUAUUGUACUAAGAUUAAGUUUUCGGAUUUCUUUGGGCUGAUCCUUGCCUUGGAAAGUGGCCAAAGUGUUACGUAGAAGAAAAACAGCCGCCAGCUUCUGAGAGGGCUGUUUUUGAGAUAAAAUGUUUAUGUACAAUUUGUACAAAUAUAUAUUGGAUCUCUUCGACACUCGCUGAACGCCUGUCAUAUGGCACAAAGUUCAGUACAUGCGAAUAUUGUAUAUAUAUAUAUAUAUGUAUGUCUGCAGAUAUAUAGGUUUAUUUAUACGUUCAAUUGUCAACAGCUGGCAUCAGCAGAUUCUGCAUGAAUGAAAGCAAAAAAUUUGUUAUGUGAUUUACUCAAAACUCAAACCAAAUACAAUAAAGCCAAGCAAACAUGA